AUUUUAUUUCUGCUAUUUCAAGAAGUAAACUGGAAGAUAUUGCAAAUGCAGCGUUAGCAGCUAGUGCAGUAACACAAGUAGCCAAGGUUUUUGACCAAUAUCUCAAUUUUAUUACUUUGGAAGAUGAUAUGUUUGUAUUAUGUAAUCAAAAUAAGGAGCUUGUUUCAUAUCGUGCCAUUAACAGGCCAGAUAUCACAGACACGGAAAUGGAAACUGUUAUGGACACUAUAGUUGACAGCCUCUUCUGCUUUUUUGUUACUCUGGGUGCUGUUCCUAUAAUCAGAUGUUCAAGAGGAACAGCAGCAGAAAUGGUAGCAGUGAAACUAGACAAGAAACUUCGAGAAAAUCUAAGAGAUGCAAGAAACAGUCUUUUUACAGGUGAUACACUUGGAGCUGGCCAAUUCAGCUUCCAGAGGCCCUUAUUAGUCCUUGUUGACAGAAACAUAGAUUUGGCAACUCCUUUACAUCAUACUUGGACAUAUCAAGCAUUGGUGCACGAUGUACUGGAUUUCCAUUUAAACAGGGUUAAUUUGGAAGAAUCUUCAGGAGUGGAAAACUCUCCAGCUGGUGCUAGACCAAAGAGAAAAAACAAGAAGUCUUAUGAUUUAACUCCGGUUGAUAAAUUUUGGCAAAAACAUAAAGGAAGUCCAUUCCCAGAAGUUGCAGAAUCAGUUCAGCAAGAACUAGAAUCUUACAGAGCACAGGAAGAUGAGGUCAAACGACUUAAAAGCAUUAUGGGACUAGAAGGGGAAGAUGAAGGAGCCAUAAGUAUGCUUUCUGACAAUACCGCUAAGCUAACAUCAGCUGUUAGUUCUUUGCCAGAACUCCUUGAGAAAAAAAGACUUAUUGAUCUCCAUACAAAUGUUGCCACUGCUGUUUUAGAACAUAUAAAGGCAAGAAAAUUGGAUGUAUAUUUUG
rnacentral:lncRNA from 1 species